rnacentral:misc_RNA from 1 species
AAAUAACAUUCGUGAAUUUUUCGCGGAUUUGAGUUUUCCAGUAUUUUUUAUAAAUAAAAAUGUUGGUAACUUUAAAAUUAUUUAUUACUUGGUACAAGUUGAAAACGUGCUAUAUGUGUGGUUCGCUGACAACUUGUCCAUCUUUAUAUAUUAUGCGCGCACUUAGUUAUUAAUACUUUCUGCGAGUAUAUAUUUUUU